UACAGAGGUCCCGAGCGUUGUUCGGAUUCAUUGGGCGUAAAGGGUGCGUAGGUGGCGCUGUAAGUGGGGUGUGAAAUCCCGGGGCUUAACUCCGGAACUGCAUUCCAUACUGCGGUGCUUGAGGACUGGAGAGGAGACUGGAAUUUACGGUGUAGCAGUGAAAUGCGUAGAGAUCGUAAGGAAGACCAGUGGCGAAGGCGGGUCUCUGGGCAGUAACUGACGCUGAGGAGCGAAAGCGUGGGGAGCAAACAGG
rnacentral:rRNA from 1 species